AACGCUAGCUACAGGCUUAACACAUGCAAGUCGAGGGGCAGCAUCAUCAAAGCUUGCUUUGAUGGAUGGCGACCGGCGCACGAGUGAGUAACACGUAUCCAACCUGCCGACAACACUGGGAUAGCCUUUCGAAAGAAAGAUUAAUACCGGAUGGCAUAGUUUUCCCGCAUGGGAUAAUUAUUAAAGAAUUUCGGUUGUCGAUGGGGAUGCGUUCCAUUAGGCAGUUGGCGGGGUAACGGCCCACCAAACCUACGAUGGAUAGGGGUUCUGAGAGGAGGGUCCCCCACAUUGGAACUGAGACACGGUCCAAACUCCUACGGGAGGCAGCAGUGAGGAAUAUUGGUCAAUGGACGAGAGUCUGAACCAGCCAAGUAGCGUGAAGGAUGACUGCCCUAUGGGUUGUAAACUUCUUUUAUAUGGGAAUAAAGUGAGCCACGUGUGGCUUUUUGUAUGUACCAUACGAAUAAGGAUCGGCUAACUCCGUGCCAGCAGCCGCGGUAAUACGGAGGAUCCGAGCGUUAUCCGGAUUUAUUGGGUUUAAAGGGAGCGUAGGCGGACUAUUAAGUCAGCUGUGAAAGUUUGCGGCUCAACCGUAAAAUUGCAGUUGAUACUGGUCGUCUUGAGUGCAGUAGAGGUAGGCGGAAUUCGUGGUGUAGCGGUGAAAUGCUUAGAUAUCACGAAGAACUCCGAUUG
rnacentral:rRNA from 1 species